rnacentral:rRNA from 1 species
GAUGAACGCUGGCGGCGUGCCUAAUACAUGCAAGUCGAGCGAACAAACGAGGAGCUUGCUCCUUUGACGUUAGCGGCGGACGGGUGAGUAACACGUGGAUAACCUACCUAUAAGACUGGGAUAACUUCGGGAAACCGGAGCUAAUACCGGAUAACAUGUUGAACCGCAUGGUUCAACAGUGAAAGGCGGUCUUGCUGUCACUUAUAGAUGGAUCCGCGCCGCAUUAGCUAGUUGGUAAGGUAACGGCUUACCAAGGCAACGAUGCGUAGCCGACCUGAGAGGGUGAUCGGCCACACUGGAACUGAGACACGGUCCAGACUCCUACGGGAGGCAGCAGUAGGGAAUCUUCCGCAAUGGGCGAAAGCCUGACGGAGCAACGCCGCGUGAGUGAAGAAGGUCUUCGGAUCGUAAAACUCUGUUAUUAGGGAAGAACAAAUGUGUAAGUAACUAUGCACGUCUUGACGGUACCUAAUCAGAAAGCCACGGCUAACUACGUG